rnacentral:rRNA from 1 species
UACGAAGGGGGCUAGCGUUGCCCGGAAUCACUGGGCGUAAAGCGCACGUAGGCGGAUUCUUAAGUCAGGGGUGAAAUCCUGGAGCUCAACUCCAGAACUGCCUUUGAUACUGAAGAUCUUGAGUUCGGGAGAGGUGAGUGGAACUGCGAGUGUAGAGGUGAAAUUCGUAGAUAUUCGCAAGAACACCAGUGGCGAAGGCGGCUCACUGGCCCGAUACUGACGCUGAGGCACGAAAGCGUGGGGAGCAAACAGG